UACGGAGGGUGCGAGCGUUGUCCGGAAUCACUGGGCGUAAAGGGCGCGUAGGCGGCCUGAUAAGUAGGGGGUGAAAUCCUGCGGCUUAACCGCAGGGCUGCCUUCUAAACUGUCGGGCUCGAGCACAGUAGAGGCAGGUGGAAUUCCCGGUGUAGCGGUGGAAUGCGUAGAGAUCGGGAAGAACAUCAGUGGCGAAGGCGGCCUGCUGGGCUGUUGCUGACGCUGAGGCACGAAAGCUAGGGGAGCAAACAGG
rnacentral:rRNA from 1 species